rnacentral:rRNA from 1 species
UACGUAGGGUGCGAGCGUUAAUCGGAAUUACUGGGCGUAAAGCGUGCGCAGGCGGUUUCUUAAGUCAGAUGUGAAAGCCCCGGGCUUAACCUGGGAACUGCGUUUGAAACUGGGAGACUUGAGUGUGGCAGAGGGGGGUGGAAUUCCACGUGUAGCAGUGAAAUGCGUAGAUAUGUGGAGGAACACCGAUGGCGAAGGCAGCCCCCUGGGCCAAUACUGACGCUCAUGCACGAAAGCGUGGGUAGCAAACAGG